UGGGGAAUAUUGGACAAUGGGCGCAAGCCUGAUCCAGCCAUGCCGCGUGUGAGAUGAAGGCGCUAGGGUUGUAAAGCUCUUUCACCGGUGAAGACAAUGACGGUAACCGGAGAAGAAGCCCCGGCUAACUUCGUGCCAGCAGCCGCGGUAAUACGAAGGGGGCUAGCGUUGUUCGGAUUUACUGGGCGUAAAGCGCACGUAGGCGGACUUUUAAGUCAGGGGUGAAAUCCCGGGGCUCAACCCCGGAACUGCCUUUUAUACUGGAAGUCUUGAGUAUGGUAGAGGUGAGUGGAAUUCCGAGUGUAGAGGUGAAAUUCGUAGAUAUUCGGAGGAACACCAGUGUCGAAGGCGGCUCACUGGGCCAUUACUGACGCUGAGGUGCGAAAGCGUGGGGAGCAAACAGG
rnacentral:rRNA from 1 species